rnacentral:rRNA from 1 species
UACGUAGGAAGCAAGCGUUGUUCGGAAUUACUGGGCGUAAAGAGUGUGUAGGCGGUGCUCUAAGUCUGUUGUGAAAUCUCCCGGCUUAACUGGGAGGGUGCAGCGGAAACUGGAAUGCUCGAGUAUGGGAGAGGUAAGCGGAAUUCCUGGUGUAGCGGUGAAAUGCGUAGAUAUCAGGAGGAACACCUGUGGUGUAGACAGCUUACUGGACCAUCACUGACGCUGAGACACGAAAGCGUGGGUAGCAAACAGG